CCUACGGGGGGCAGCAGUGGGGAAUAUUGGACAAUGGGGGGAACCCUGAUCCAGCGACGCCGCGUGAGUGAAGAAGUAUUUCGGUAUGUAAAGCUCUAUCAGCAGGGAAGAAAAUGACGGUACCUGACUAAGAAGCCCCGGCUAACUACGUGCCAGCAGCCGCGGUAAUACGUAGGGGGCAAGCGUUAUCCGGAUUUACUGGGUGUAAAGGGAGCGUAGGCGGCGAUGCAAGUCAGAAGUGAAAGCCCGGGGCUCAACUCCGGGACUGCUUUUGAAACUGUAUGGCUAGAUUGCAGGAGAGGCAAGUGGAAUUCCUAGUGUAGCGGUGAAAUGCGUAGAUAUUAGGAGGAACACCAGUGGCGAAGGCGGCUUGCUGGACUGUAAAUGACGCUGAGGCUCGAAAGCGUGGGGAGCAAACAGGAUUAGAUACCCUUGUAGUC
rnacentral:rRNA from 1 species